CUUCUAGAACCAGAAAGUUAUACUGAUCACAGCCCUGCACACUCACUUGAUAAUGUGCACUCUCCCACAAAUGAAGUGCAGGAGACAUCCACCCAAGACCGUACGUCUUUACCUAGUGAGCAAACAGUUGCUAAGAGGACUCGAAGAGUUAAAGCCCCCAGUUUGAACCGGUCAGAAUUGUGCCGUUAUCCAUCUAUCUUCUUUCACUAAGAAAUAAAGAAGAAUUGUGGCCAAAGUCAAGUUAGUGACUACUGAUGGCAAACGAGAGAUUGGCGGAAGCAUGCUUGGAAAGGAAUAUGUUGGGUUUAUGUUAAAGGUCUUGAAAAUUAAUGUUGACAGUAGAAAUAAAGGAAAUGAGCUGAUACCUACACCUAUUUUUGAGAUUCGUACACUAAUAGAUGCUAUUGGCUAUACCAUUCCUUGGCCCCGUUCACAUGUGAAGAAAGCUACAAGUUUAAAUCUGAAACAACCUGGUGAUGUAAUUUUUCAAGGGAGAAGUGAAGCUGCGAUGGAGAGAGGGACAAUAACAGGCAAUGAAGCAUAGGUUUAAAUCGGAAACAGCAUGUUCGGUUGAACUGUGCUGCUUGGCUCUGCUCUGCUGCUUGGCCUGUUCGGUUGAGCUGUGCUGCUGUUCUGUUGAUCCGUGUGGCUGUUCUGCAAGAAGGGGCAAUGAAGCUAGAAACCCGCCAAGUUGAUCCGUGUGCUGUUCUGUUGAGCUUGGCUGCUUGGCCUGUUCUUUGGUGGCUUGACUUCCGGUGGUUCGGACAAUGCUGUGCUGUUCGGAUGACUUGGACAGGAUUUAGCAGAAGCGAACACAUGGUUUAGUUGUUAUUAAAAAAAUUAGAAAUAAUUGUAUGAUAUUGUCAUUUGGUCUGUGUUUCUUUAUUAAGGCAAUUGUCUUGUUGAUA